GACCAGACUCCUACGGGAGGCAGCAGUGGGGAAUAUUGCACAAUGGGGGAAACCCUGAUGCAGCGACGCCGCGUGAGUGAAGAAGUAUUUCGGUAUGUAAAGCUCUAUCAGCAGGGAAGAAGUUGACGGUACCUGAGUAAGAAGCCCCGGCUAACUACGUGCCAGCAGCCGCGGUAAUACGUAGGGGGCAAGCGUUAUCCGGAUUUACUGGGUGUAAAGGGAGCGUAGACGGCAGUGUAAGUCUGAAGUGAAAGCCCCGGGCUUAACCCGGGAAUUGCUUUGGAAACUGUACGGCUGGAGUGCUGGAGAGGUAAGCGGAAUUCCUAGUGUAGCGGUGAAAUGCGUAGAUAUUAGGAGGAACACCAGUGGCGAAGGCGGCUUACUGGACAGUAACUGACGUUGAGGCUCGAAAGCGUGGGGAGCAAACAGGAUUAGAUACCCUUGUAC
rnacentral:rRNA from 1 species